rnacentral:lncRNA from 1 species
AUCAGUCUGCCCACAUUCUGGCCAAGAAGUACAACAAAAGAUGGAGGUUCGCAUGCAGCAGCCUGCCCACGAUCGACGUGCUACAGAUAGCAAAAAAACAGACUAUUGUAGAUAAUGUUGUUACUGCUAUCUAUAGAUGACGUGUACGAUCAUUACAGACUGCAAGUGUCUAAACUGAUGUACAUGCCCUAAUUGCUCUACGGAUAGCCAAACCAAAGCCAGAUAAUUACUCCUAUGGGGCACCUGCCUCCCGGGGGAUUCGCGGGCGAGAGUGCCCUUCGCGCCUUUCAUUUGGCGGUGGCGUGCCAUCGGGGAUCUUCGCGUCGUCCGAUCUGUCCGGGCAGCGUGCCUCAGGGUUCCGUGACGGGUGGACCGGGCGUGAUCGUAGGCCGUCAGCGGGUGGUUUCGUCUGCAUUGGAGUGCGUCCUCUUGGCAUCAGGGGAGUCCGUACCUGCCUGUCGGCGUCUUCGGCCACGGGGCUGGUUCAUGCGCCUCCCUGGAGUUCUUCACAACAUCUGAUCUACCUGGACGUCGAGCACCCGUGCAGCCUGCCUCUGUGUUCAUGAUGGUUAGUGUUAAACCUAAAUAAUUUUUGUGGUUAUUAGGGAAUAAUCCCCGCUCCUUUCUAGAUGUACAGUUGCACACUUCCAGCAACCGUCACGUCGGUUCCUGGAAUGGCAUCUCUAUGGACCAUCGUGUCCCUCCGAGGCAACUGUUCCCAUUGUAUAUAAGUGCUCAUUCAUCGUCAAUAAAGUGUGGUUCGAGUCAUUUGUUCCUUUGUCUCUCUCGAUACAAUUCUAUUCAUCACACAUUAUCAGCACGCUCCCGACUGAGCGAUUCCAGCGUGGAGAGCCCUUCCCCGGCGGCGGCGGCCAAGGCCACGGCUCUCAUCCGACCCUCUGCAGCGACUCCCUCCGCCAACGGCGGCGCCCAUAUCGACGGUCUUCGUCAGCACGGUCGUCUAUGACGACAACGCUCUCGGGCGUGGCGGCACCGGAGCGGCCAAGGACAAGGCCAUCCAACCUUCCAGCGCGGGCGGACCAUGAGCGGCCGUGGUGGCUGUAGCGGCGACGCCCUCGGGCGUGGAAAACGGCGGCCCUCACCCCGGCAGAAGAGCUUCCAUGCGGCAACCUCGCCUCGUGAAUGAAGAACAGGGCAUUGGCGUCCAUCUAUCUGGAAAGAUCGAGAGGAAAAUCAAGGGAUCAAGGAAUUAAUCGGAGUCAUACCUUGAUUUCAUUGCUACAAGGUGCUUCUUUCCGAUUUAUUAACGCAUAUACUAAUUGCUAUCUGAAAUUAGUACCUGUAGCCCUCGUCAUUGCAGCGCACGCAUCGGCUGCCCUCAGCCAUGCGACAACACAGAGGCAUCGAGCCCUUGACGCACCAGCGGCCGGCGUCGGCGAAGACGACUAGCGCAGGGCCGCGCCUCACGCCCUCGUCGCCACGCGGUCGUCCGCGCUGCUGGACUCGCGCCCUCCGCGCCGCCGUGGCAACAAGCGGCAAUGACCUCCGGCCGGCAAGCUUAUCUCAAGUGGCCGCGACGGCGUUGGUGGUUUGCUACGAAUCAAUCGAUUGGGUUUUAACCACACGAACAGAUAGAGAGAUAGUGAAUCUUAUCCUUUUGUGACACUUCAAUUUAGUCUUCCAACUUUAUUGUAUGUCCGGAUAAGCCCUUGCAUUUCUUCCGUUGGGACCUCUGGCUUGACGUGUCUUGCGGAUUAGUCCAUAGAUUAUUCUGUACGAUGCAAAUCAGCCUACGGCUUACUGUAAGUUGCAGUUUAGGCUUUCUCUCUACUGCAAAUUUUACUUUGAAAGAUCUCAUAUCUCUUUAUAUCACAUUUACAAUAUGUAAAUGAUGAUUUCAGAUAUACUUUGUGAAAAUGGGACAUGUUCAAUGUAUUUGCUCUCUAGCAAUUCCUAUAACAUGUUAUGCAUUGCCAUUGAGAUUACGUUUUCUCGCACAACAAUAUUGAUUUGCGAUUGAGGAAAAAAUCUCACAAAAUAAUUGAAGUUGAGAUCGAUUUUCUCUCGCAAAAUAUUAGUUCACUUCACUAAAUUAUCUUGCAAUUUGAUACAAGAUCUCAUUUAAUUUGAGAUCUAUACAAUUCAAGUUUUUCACUUGAGCAUCAAGUUUGCAACA